AUUCAAAAUACUACCUACCCACAUUUAACUACCCAUAUUCAACUAUUUAACCAUCCUUUCACUACCAUUUCACACGUCUCAAAAACAUUUUCUUUCAAUUUUCAAAGUUCUCAAAAGGAAACUAAGUUCAACCACCAGGAAGAAAGCUUGAUGAAUUUCUUAUGUAUCCAUGGGGAUGUAAGGCAUAUUUUGUUCUAUUACAUUCAUUACAAGAAUCACAACUUGAAAGAAUACGAAGAAUGCAACAAAAUAACCAAGCAGAAUGUAAAUAUUCAUUGCAUGGUUAUCCACUUGUAUUCCAGUAUUGGAUAUACGAAACUUUUCCUAAAAUUGGACGACAAUUUGGUCACCGUAUCCGUACAAGUUUAAAAUGUCCACGAAUGCAUAAAUGGCAGCCUCAAAUGGUAUUAGCGGAAAAUGUUAUUAAAGAAUUUUUAGCUACUGAAGAGGUAUGUUCA